rnacentral:rRNA from 1 species
UACGUAGGGGGCGAGCGUUGUCCGGAUUUAUUGGGCGUAAAGAGCUCGUAGGCGGCUUGGCAAGUCGGGUGUGAAAACUCCAGGCUCAACCUGGAGACGCCACUCGAGACUGCUAUGGCUAGAGUCCGGUAGGGGACCACGGAAUUCCUGGUGUAGCGGUGAAAUGCGCAGAUAUCAGGAGGAACACCGGUGGCGAAGGCGGUGGUCUGGGCCGGCACUGACGCUGAGGAGCGAAAGCGUGGGGAGCGAACAGG